GACGAACGCUAGCUACAGGCUUAACACAUGCAAGUCGAGGGGUAACGAGAGGAAAGCUUGCUUUCCUUGUCGACGACCGGCGCACGGGUGAGUAACGCGUAUCCAACCUGCCCCCAACUAGGGAAUAACCUUGCGAAAGUAAGACUAAUACCCUAUAAUUUCCUCAGAUGUCAUCUGACGAGGAAUAAAGAUUUAUCGGUUGUGGAUGGGGAUGCGUCUGAUUAGCUUGUUGGCGGGGUAACGGCCCACCAAGGCAACGAUCAGUAGGGGUUCUGAGAGGAAGGUCCCCCACAUUGGAACUGAGACCCGGUCCAAACUCCUACGGGAGGCAGCAGUGAGGAAUAUUGGUCAAUGGGCGGAAGCUUGAACCAGCCAAGUAGCGUGCAGGAUGACGGCCCUAUGGGUUGUAAACUGCUUUUAUACAGGAAUAAAGUUAGCCACGUGUGGUUAUUUGUAGGUACUGUAUGGAUAAGGACCGGCUAAUUCCGUGCCAGCCGCCGCAGUAA
rnacentral:rRNA from 1 species